rnacentral:lncRNA from 1 species
CCUUCAGGAAUUUGGAGACACAAAUUGAUGAGGUUGUUGAUGAGGAGAAGGUGGAGAGAGAAGGGGAAAAGAUAGAAGAGGAGAAAAUAGAGGAAGAUGAAGUAGAAAGGUUGAGUGAGGGAGAGAAAGAUGAGAAGAAAGAAAAAGCAGUUGAGAAAAAAGAAAAAAAAUAAGAAAAUAAGAAAAAAGAAAAAAAAGAAAGUGGAAGAAGGAGAAGGUUGAGAAAAAGAGGAAGAGAGGAAAGAAGAAAAGAUCACAUGAAAAACAUCUUCCUCAUAAAAAGAAAAAUCAUAGGAAGGGAAAUAAGUUCAAGUUGGCGAUCUUNAAGAAAUUGGAGACUAAAGUUCCUAUGAUUGAAACAUGGAAACAAUUGCUUGGAGUUCUUAAUUUUCUGAAGAAAUUCAGCAGAAAGAAGAAAAAGAAAAGAAUAGCAAGCAAAAGGGAGUAUCAACACCUACUGAUAGGCGUUUGAACUCUACCGAGUCAAGCUAAUGACGUUAAAAGAGAGCUUGUUGGGAGGUAACCCAGUUUCAGAAUUUUUUAUUUUUUUAUUUUUUUUUAUCUUUUAUUUCGUUUUGAUUUGAUUUGAUUUUAAUUUAUUUUAUUUGAUUUUAUUUUAUUUAAUUUGAUUUAAUUUGAUUUAAUUUGAUUUUAUUUUAUUUGAUUUUAUUUUAUUUUAUUUUAUUUUAUUUAUUUAUUUAUUUUUUUUUUUAUUUUUGGUUAUGCGCUUCUUCUGAUGGCAGUAAUGAUUAGCAUCUACUGAGGGAUGCUAGAAGAUUUGUGAAUCCACUGAAGGAUUCCAAGAAGGCACAACUACUGAUGGGUGUUGGAAGGUAUUGCACUUACUGACAAGUGCUAAACAGGUUUGGGUCAGGCUCGUGACAUUAAACAAGCGCUACUAGGAGGCAACCUGGUAUUUUUUCUUUUACUUUUGCAUUUUAAAUUUU